GGAUGCUGAGACCAGAGUAUUGCAGUUUGAUGGUAGCCUGAGCAGGAAAAUCUGAGGCUCUUAUUUCCACUAUCAAAAAAGCCAGAAGUAGAACUGUGGCUCAAGUGGUAGAAUUUUAGUCUUGAGCAAAAGAAGCUCAGUGACAGUGCCCGGACCUUGAGUUCAAAGCCCAGGACUGGCACCAAAAAUGAAACAAAACAAUGCAUACCAUAUUGCACAGGCUUUGAAAUCUCAGAAUGGCAUACCCAAUAACUACCUGUAAUUUUAUAAGUUCGGAGAUGGCUUAACUUAUUUUGCUAGUUAAGUGCAUGUACAAGUGCUAUGUUAAUUUAAAAAAAUAGUUAAGACUGUGUAAUUAUGUAACCUCUUUGAACCACUCAGCACUUGCUAUUUUAGAAAUCUCUGGAAGGCCAGGGGUGGUGGCUCCUCUUUGUAAUUUCGGUGCUAGGGAGAUCUGCCUGGGAGAAAAAAA